rnacentral:rRNA from 1 species
GUGAACAACGAAGGGCGCGCGGUGGAUGCCUAGGCUCUCGGAGGCGAUGAAGGACGCGAUAAGCCGCGAUAGGCCACGGCGAGGUGCAAGUAACCCUUGACCCGUGGAUUUCCGAAUGGGGCAACCCGGCCGUCUAGAUGACGGUCAUGCAUUAAUGCAGGCGAACGCGGGGAACUGAAACAUCUCAUUACCCGCAGGAGAAGAAAACAAAAUGUGAUUCCCCCAGUAGUGGCGAGCGAACGGGGAAGAGCCCAAACCGUUGCCGUUUCGGCGACAGCGGGGUCAUGGGACCGCGAUACUCGACGAUGGACGAAGUGCAAUUACCUGGAAAGGUAAGCCGUGGAGGGUGACAGCCCCGUGCACGACACCUCCAUCUAAGAUAGCGGUAUCCCGAGUAGGGCGGGACACGAGAAAUCCUGCCUGAAUUCGCCAGGACCUCCUGGCAAGGCUAAAUACUCCCGAGAGACCGAUAGUGAACCAGUACCGCGAGGGAAAGGUGAAAAGUACCCCGAGCAGGGGGGUGAAAUAGACCCUGAACCCGCGCGCCUACAAGCGGUCGGAGCCAUGAAAUAUGGUGACGGCGUGCCUUUUGCAUAAUGAGCCUACGAGUUAGUCGUCACCAGCGAGGUUAAGGGCUUCAGGCCCGUUAGCCGAAGUGAAAGCGAGCCUUAACAGGGCGUCGAGUUGGUGGCGCUAGACGCGAAACCUUGUGAUCUACCCACGAGCAGGUUGAAGUCGCGGUAACACGUGAUGGAGGACCGAACCGGUAAACGUUGAAAAGUUUUCGGAUGACUCGCGGGUAGGGGUGAAAGGCCAAUCAAACUGGGAAAUAGCUCGUACUCUCCGAAAUGCAUUUCGGUGCAGCCUGUGAUGUUCUGUUCCAGAGGUAGAGCUACUGGUUGGACGCGAGGGCUUCACCGCCUAUCAAAUCCGGAUAAACUCCGAAUGCUGGAACACGAAAUCAUGGAGUGAGCCCGCGGGUGCUAAGGUCCGCGGACGAGAGGGAAAGAACCCGGACCACCGGCUAAGGUCCCGGAUGGACAGUUAAGUUGAUCAAACGAGGUGGGAUCGCUGAGACAGCUAGGAUGUUGGCUUGGAAGCAGCCAUUCAUUUAAAGAGUGCGUAACAGCUCACUAGUCGAGCGAUCCCGCGUGGAUAAUACACGGGCAUCAAACUGUCAACCGAAGCCGUGGGGUUAGUGAUGAGCUAACCGGUAGGAGAGCAUUCCUGCCAGCUUUGAAGGUCACCCGCGAGAGUGACUGGAGCGGCAUGAAAAGCAAAUGUAGGCAUAAGUAACGAUAAUGGGGGCGAGAACCCCCCACGCCGCAAGACCAAGGAUUCCCCGGCAAUGUCAAUCAGCCGGGGGUCAGCCGGCCUCUAAGGCUCACCCGAAAGGGGAUGCCGACGAGAAACGGGUUAACAUUCCCGUGCUUCUCGUCACCGUGACGCGGUGACGGGGUGAUGAAUGGACCGCGCGCUGACGGAAUAGCGCGUUGAAGGCCGUACCCUAUGACGGUGGUAGUCAAGCACGCCACCGGAGGCGAGAGCCGAUAGUACCACGAGACUCCGGUCGAGUGGAUAGCGUCCAGGCAAUUUACCCCCGAGAAAACCCGCUAAACUUCAAGUGACGAGGAACCGUACUGUAAACGGACACACGUGGUCGGGUAGAACAUACCAAGGCGCUCGAGUGAUUCAUGGUCAAGGAACUAGGCAAAAUAGUCCUGUAACUUAGGGAAAAAGGACGCUCUAGUGAUAGAGCCGCAGAGUAAUGGCCCAGGCGACUGUUUACCAAAAACACAUGGCUAUGCCAAAUCGAAAGAUGACGUAUAUGGCCUGACACCUGCCCGGUGCCGGAAGGUUAAGAGGAGAGCUCAUCGGAAACGAGAAGGUUUGAAUUGAAGCCCCGGUAAACGGCGGCCGUAACUAUAACGGUCCUAAGGUAGCGAAAUUCCUUGUCGGGUAAGUUCCGACCUG